UAUUUGACAUUGGUUUUUUAUUUCUUUUUUGUCACUUAUCUGCAGGAUGAUCUCAUAACUAGUUUGAUUGGUGAUUCUUUUCCUGUAUGCAUGUUUAAUGCCUCGACCUUUAAUUACUUAUAUGGGUAAAAAAAUUGCUGAAGUGGCUUCUAAUCUUUUUAUGCUAGGAAACUUCAUAAUGUGCUGAGCUCACCGUCCAUCAGCUGUGAUUUCUUCUUGCUGUUAAGGAGAGCCUCAUGAUUUACUCAUGAGGUAAGAUAUUGAAUAUUGAGGAGGGACCAAGCAAAUUGGCCAAACGCAUACUGCAGUGAGUUUAGGAUGAUGCUUGAUUCCUUUUCCUGGAGUAAAACAUGAAAGAUUCUAGCAAGAUAAGCUGUGGACCAAGCAAAUUGGCCAAACGCAUACUGCAGCAUGUUCAGGAUGAUGCUGGAUUCCUUUUCCUGGAGCAAAACAUGAAAGAUUCUAGCAAGAUAUGCUGUGGAACCACCUCUUUUUUCUGGGAAAGGUAUAGUGAUCUUAGGUGGAUAUUUUAUGUUUACAUCCAACAUUUUUGUAUUAAUAUCAACACAGCUGUGAUAUAUUAGAAAUAUUUGUUUUUGUCUCCAA